rnacentral:rRNA from 1 species
AAAGAUCGAAUGGGGAGAUUCAUCGAUAACGAGGCUCGGCUUCCGUUGGCGUGCGAUACCCCGAAUGGUUCCCUUCGUGGAUGCCAAUGCGAGGGCACACCGUCUUCGGCAAAUGUUCCGGCAACGUAGUCGUGCACUUCUCCCCUUGUAGAACGUCGCGACCCGUUGCGUGUCGGUCUACGGCACGAGUUGUUGACUGUCGGCGUCGUCUUCGCGCGUACACGACAGACGCUCGAUCGCCCGGCCGGCUGCGUGACGGUACACUAUUUUACGGUAUUGGGCCGCAACUUGCUCCAUUUUCGAAUGUAUUUGCGUUCAGGCCCGCCGCAAGCUCGGUUAGUAAAUUACCCGGAUGGUACGGACCUGGUGCCGGCUCCGGGCCUAGCCAGCUGUUGGCAGGCGGUGUCCUCGAACUGGCCAACCUUUCUUGAAUCACAUUACCGGUCAGCGACGCUACUGCUUUGGGUACUUUCAGGACCCGUCUUGAAACACGGACCAAGGAGUCUAACAUGUGCGCGAGUCAUUGGGACUCGAAUUAAACCUAAAGGCAUAAUGAAAGUGAAAGUUGACCUUUGCGUCGACCGAGGGAGGAUGGGCCGCGUCACGAUGCGGCCUCGCACUCCCGGGGCGUCUCGUUGUCAUAGCGAGAAGAG